AGGUGCUCCAAUAUCACCUCAUGGAUUAUGGCCUGAACAAGAGCUACAAUUGUGGAACGAGAUCGAUGCUGCGUGUUCGUCUUUCCUAUCCGUUGGUUCUCAGCCUCAGGCAUCCAGUGCAUUGGAGAAGCUUUGCUUCAUGAUUAUGGGGACUCUGCCAAAGCCCCAG